CAAAUCGCUACAAGAGGCAGUCUACUUCGACCCGAUGAGGCUAAAACCCUAAACCCUUGCAACCUCCUCCCAAACAUUUUCACUUCGUCGCAUUCUUCUUCCUUCGAUCCUUCAAUGGCUUCGGCUUGCAAUAGAUUCGCCGGCAGAGCAUCCCUAUCAUCCGUCAAAUCCGCCAUUAGAUCUAGCCUCCGCACAUCUCCUCUCACCAAAUCCGCCGCGCCCACCUCUCCGCGCGUCCAUCUCCCCUCUAGAUCCACUUCCAUUCCUCUUUCCCGGUUCUCACUCUUCAGGUGUCCCUCGGAAUUGGGAAGCGUGCAGUCAUUAUUGCCGUUGCACAGCGCGGUGGCAGUGGCGAGAAUGACGUCGUGCCUGAGCACAACAUCGAGGAGUUGCCGAGCGGUCUUGCAGGGUACACUCUGCUGCACCUCCCCAGGCCUCUAAUCUCAUGCACAUAAGAUGAGUUGGUUGAAAGAAAUAAAAUGGGAAUUUGCUGGACCUGGCACUUAUCAAAUGGAGUUGAUGGCACGUGAGACAUUUGUGCUGCAUUUGGAGAGUUUGGGCUGUCCGUUCCAAGGUGACUUUAUUGCAGUCCAACAUGAAGAGGAGUUAUCUUUACAAUAAUGGAAAAUCUUGCAUCAACAUUUUUUUGUAGUCAAUUCAAAGGAGCUGCUUGAACAUUGCAAGCAAGGAAACUGGUUUUGGUUAUUCCCUCGACUGAGAUAUAUCAUGUUCGAGUAACCAUUCAUUUAUGUUUAAUCGUCGGGCCUGUAUUCGGAGAUCCUUGCUUUUCCGGUGCUUGUAAUUGUAAUUGUAUUUUUCUUCUUCCUUUUCUUUUCUUCUCCACUUGCGUGCUUUUAACUUGCCAGAUUGGGAGCAAUGCCUAUGGAUCUCCGGAAGCCAAGUAAUGCAAUCUGAAGGAUGCGUGGUGACAUUCGAUGUUAAUCUUAAUACGUGAACUUCCAUUGUUCUGACUGCGUGCUUUUCCAAAUAAUAUAUCAGACUCCGUCGUCUAUUCAA